rnacentral:rRNA from 1 species
GCUAGGUACGGUCGGAAAUCGUGCUGAUAGUGCAAUGGCAAAAGCGUGCUUGACUGCGAGAGCAACAACUCGAGCAGAUGCGAAAGCAGGUCAUAGUGAUCCGGUGGCUCUGAAUGGAAGGGCCAUCGCUCAACGGAUAAAAGGUACUCUGGGGAUAACAGGCUGAUACCGCCCAAGAGUUCAUAUCGACGGCGGUGUUUGGCACCUCGAUGUCGGCUCAUCUCAUCCUGGGGCUGUAGUCGGUCCCAAGGGUAUGGCUGUUCGCCAUUUAAAGAGGUACGUGAGCUGGGUUUAAAACGUCGUGAGACAGUUUGGUCCCUAUCUGCCGUGGGCGUUGGAAGAUUGACGGGGGCUGCUCCUAGUACGAGAGGACCGGAGUGGACGCACCUCUGGUGUACCGGUUGUCACGCCAGUGGCAUUGCCGGGUAGCUAAGUGCGGAAGAGAUAACCGCUGAAAGCAUCUAAGCGGGAAACUUGCCUGAAGAUGAGUCUUCCCGGAGGUUGAACCUCCCUCAAGAGUCGUCCGAGACCAGGACGUCGAUAGGUCAGGUGUGUAAGCGCUGUAAGGCGUUGAGCUAACUGAUACUAAUUGCUCGUGAGGCUUGAUCCU